rnacentral:rRNA from 1 species
CCCUUAGAUGUUCUGGGCCGCACGCGUGCUACACUGAGUAAUUCAAUGGGUAAGGGAACGCUAGAGCAUUACCUAAUCUUGAAAUUUGCUCGUGAUGGGGAUCGACGGUUGCAAUUUUCCGUCGUGAACGAGGAAUACCUUGUAGGCGCAUGUCAUCAUCAUGCGCCGAAUACGUCCCUGCCCUUUGUACACACCGCCCGUCGCUCCUACCGAUUGAGUGAUCCGGUGAGGCUUUGGGAUCUGGAUGGAAAGAGCGUUUCGCUGUUUCUGCCCGGAAAACUCAGUCGAACCUUAUCAUUUAGAGGAAGGAGAAGUCGUAACA